AGUAUUACACUCCUGCUUUACAACCAUAUCUUUAUAAAUGAAAGUGGUUAUUUGAAACUUGAAAUUUCUUUGUUCUCUUGUUAGCAUCAAAUGCGCACUAGAGUUAUGUCAGAUUUGGGAAUUGCUUACAUCAAAGACCUUCUGAAAUAGGCCUAAGAAUCAUCUUGGGCUUUUUCAUUUUGGAUCAUCGAAAACACUUUGAUUCAUGGAAAAUUCAUGAUUGGUUUAUUUCAAGAAGACAGGGUCUAUGUGGUCUUGCAUGCAUUCCCACUUCUGCAAAUAUCUUGGAAGGGGUUUAGUACCAAUGUAAGAGCUGUCUGGACUAAAGAGAGAGAAUGCUGAGGCAUUUUCUUGGAGCUGCCUUCCAAGACGUUUGAAGACUUCCACCAGGAGAUGAAAGGGACACUUGGGAAAAAAUUUCCCUUUAGAAGUAUAGUUGAAUUGGGUAGUUCUGUUAUAUACCUAACAUUAUACUUCUAAGAAAUGGGCUGAAUUGCAAAGGAUGAUUAGAGAAAAGAAAAUCAAGGUACUAAAAAUAUUUUAGAAAUUAAGGUGCUAACAUUCUUCCUGUAAAUGUUUUGUUUAUUGCAUAAUGGCCACUGGUAUGCUUACAUAAUUCCUUACAUUUUUCUGUUUAAUAGCUCAAACUAUUCAUGUACAUUGCGUGGGAAUACAAGUAGUUAGUUGGUAA